rnacentral:rRNA from 1 species
GGAGUUUGGACCGUGUCUCAGUUCCAAUGUGGGGGACCUUCCUCUCAGAACCCCUACUGAUUGAUGGCUUGGUGGGCCGUUACCCCGCCAACAACCUAAUCAGACGCAUCCCCAUCCCUUAGCGACAAGUCUUUGGUUCAAAUCAGAUGUCCUCUUCGAACAACAUAGGGUAUUAAUCCGACUUUCGCCGGGCUGUCCCUGACCUCGGGGCAGGUUGGAUACGCGUUACUCACCCGUGCGCCGGUCGCCAUCAAACUUAAGCAAGCUAAGUUCAUGCUGCCCCUCGACUUGCAUGUGUUAAGCCUGUAGCUAGCGUUCAUC